rnacentral:ncRNA from 1 species
UGCUAGGGGUGCCCGGGGUAACCGGGCUGAGAAAAACGGUGCGGCCGUUUUAACCCUUCGAACCCGAUCUGGAUCAUACCUGCGUGGGGAAGCUG